AGCAGUCGCCACGGGAAAACGUAGGGCGCAAGCGUUAUCCGGAAUUAUUGGGCGUAAAGAGCUCGUGGGCGGUUUGUCGCGUCUGCCGUGAAAGUCCGGGGCUCAACCCCGGAUCUGCGGUGGGUACGGGCAGACUAGAGUGAUGUAGGGGAGACUGGAAUUCCUGGUGUAGCGGUGAAAUGCGCAGAUAUCAGGAGGAACACCGAUGGCGAAGGCAGGUCUCUGGGCAUUAACUGACGCUGAGGAGCGAAAGCAUGGGGAGCGAACAGGAUUAGAUACCCGCGUAGUCCCUGUCUCUUAUAC
rnacentral:rRNA from 1 species